rnacentral:lncRNA from 1 species
CUUCCAAAGUGCUUGGAUUACAGGUGUGAGCUACCGCACCCUAUCAAGUUUCUCUUGAUCCAGAAAUUCCAAGCUUACACUUUUGGUGACUGAGGAUCACUAAGACAAAAGGCAUGAACGGAAUCAACUGGUCUUGAGGUUCUGCAUGGAACUCUGGUAUAAAGCAGUUUUGGGGUCAGAACCAACAGAUCUCUAAUAUUCUUUGGUCUGAAAACUGGCAGCAGCUGGUGAUCCAGAGGUCUCAUGGCAGAAUGAAGGAAUUUACCAAAGCCAAGCCCUUUGACUCUGGGCCUAUCUAUUUCUUUGAUCAGUUGAAACCUGAACGGAAAGAUGGGAAAAGAUAACCUGUGAAGAAAGUUAUCCCACCCAAAAUGCACCUCAAGAGCUAAGUGUUGGAUCUUUCAACAUCCUUACUCAAAAUGGGAAAUUCUGAAGUGGAAGACAGUCCCCAGUAUAGCUGUGAAGAGACUACAAGUAGCCAUAAUUCAAAUCAAAAUAGAAGAAGCAAAGCAAAAAAAAGAGGGCGUCAACAAACAACUUAUCCGGCGCCGCUAUGAGGACCUGGAAGGCGUGGAGGAGAGCAGGGAUCAGCAGUGCUCACAGAGUUUCUGGCUGGAGCUGCUGGAGAAGAAGCCUCAGAUGCCAAUUGUCAAAAAGGCUGACCCCAACAUGAAAAAAUUCCAUUACGCUCUGGUGGAUGGCUCCUCUCUGACCUAAUAUCCUUGUGAAAAUCCCAGGCGGGAAGGAGGAUGAAGGGGGCAGGUCGUGAUGGAAGGGGCUGACAGCUGGGGGUUUCCAUUUCAGCAGAAAAAACCCAGGAAGGAUUGGGAAAAGAGGUCUCAGACCUUGAGUUUGUUAAUCCCUUUUUACCAAUGGUCCACAUCCCCACAAUCUGGGGGCAAGAGAAAUCAACCCAAAAAAGAAGUUGGGGCAAGUUCCUCACUUUACAACCUUCUUUUUUUAUUUUUAUU